UUAACCUUUUUCUCAUGAAUUAUUCUGAGGGGGAUAUUUACAGAGAAGUUUCCAUUCGACGUACCGACUGAAGGCUCUCUCACAGACCAUAGCUUCUUUAACAUCAACAAAAGGCUGCACAUCCUCCAAUAGAAAGAAAACCCCUCCACCAUCCAAAUACACAGUGCUGUCAUUGUGAGUUUGGUUCAUGAAGACUUUAACGAGUCAACAGAAAGUGAAUUCCCCGUGCAUGAAGGCAAUUUAAGGUGCUGAACAGAUCGUCUUGACAACCAAUUACUUCACCUGUUUUACUUCUGACUGAGACAAAGACGAGGACAAAGCGGUGCAAAGUUUCACAGUCGCCCUCUCAGCAGUAACGGACAGUUAUAGGGGCAAGUUGCCAAAAUAAGAAGGCUCCGCCCACUGAGGCUGACCCCGUCAAUCAGGAAGAAGAGGAGGAUGAAGAAGAGGAAGAAAGAGAAAGGCCGAGCACUGGACCAAAAAAUAGUGAAUGUGUUUGUGUUCUUGUGCAGCUGGUGAAUCGUGCUGUACUUUCACAGUCUCCUCCUCACAGUUCAUCAUGUGCUGUUCUGAAGAUACGAGCUAAUGCUGUUAUCAGUCACUGCCUGGCACGACCAGAUGCAAAGACAAAGAGGCACAACCAGGCAGCAGGAGACAAACACAUCUAGGAUAAGAGGACGUCUACACUAAAAAACAGAGGAGAGCUGAAACGAUUAGUUCAAUGACAGUAAAUUAAAAAUCAGCCACAAUUUUGAUUAAUUGUUUCAAGCAAAAGUGCCCAGAAAUAUCUGAUGUGUUUCUUACUUUCUCUUUGUUUUAUAGGAUAGUCAAUAUAUUUGGAUUAAUGGAUUUUUUAAAGACACAUUUGGCUCUGUGACAGGAAGUUUUGUUGAUGGACAAUUCAUUAUCAAUCAUGAAAGGAAUCAUACAUUGCAGCACGAAAAACAGAUUCUUAGUAUAAAAAAACAUAGUGCUAAAAUAUAUUAAUGGCUUAGUUGAAUAAAAAAGCUAAUUGACUUCAAUUUUCGGUAAUUAUAUAAACAAAAAACAUUAACAUUUAAGUCAGAUGCAGGAUUGAAAAGAAAUGAUUGCACAACUAAUGACUUUUAUUAAAUUAUAGUUCGCUAAUUAUUUUCUUAAUUAAUCAACUGACCAGGGCGACAGACUCAAACAUCAAAAAAACCUCCAAAGAAAUUCAGUUCACAAUGAUAAAAAACAGAGAAAAGUUGUAACUAUUAAAACGAUGAAUCGUUUAUCAAAUUAA